UAGUCUACGCCGUAAACGAUGGUUACUAGCUGUUUGGACGAAUUAACGUCUGAGUGGCCGAGCGAAAGUGAUAAGUAACCCACCUGGGGAGUACGUUCGCAAGAAUGAAACUCAAAGGAAUUGACGGGGGCCCGCACAAGCGGUGGAGCAUGUGGUUUAAUUCGAUGAUACGCGAGGAACCUUACCAGGGCUUAAAUGCAGAAUGACAGACUUAGAAAUAGGUUUUUCUUCGGACAUUUUGCAAGGUGCUGCAUGGUUGUCGUCAGCUCGUGCCGUGAGGUGUCAGGUUAAGUCCUAUAACGAGCGCAACCCCUAUUGCUAGUUGCCAGCGAGUCAAGUCGGGGACUCUAGCGAGACUGCCGGUGCAAACCGUGAGGAAGGUGGGGAUGACGUCAAAUCAUCACGGCCCUUACGUCCUGGGGCUACACACGUGCUACAAUGGUAGGGGACAGAGAGCAGCCACUCGGGUGACGAGGGAGC
rnacentral:rRNA from 1 species